rnacentral:rRNA from 1 species
CCUACGGGUGGCAGCAGUAGGGAAUCUUCCACAAUGGACGAAAGUCUGAUGGAGCAACGCCGCGUGAGUGAAGAAGGGUUUCGGCUCGUAAAGCUCUGUUGGUAGUGAAGAAAGAUAGAGGUAGUAACUGGCCUGUAUUUGACGGUAAUUACUUAGAAAGCCACGGCUAACUACGUGCCAGCAGCCGCGGUAAUACGUAGGGGGCAAGCGUUGGCCGGAUUUAUUGGGCGUAAAGGGAGUGCAGGCGGUACGCCAAGCCUGGUGUGAAAGCUGUGGGCGUAACUGGAGGAUUGCAUGAGAAUCUGGUGAUAGUGAGUGAGGGAGAGGGAGGAGGAAGUCGUAGGGUAGCGGUGAAAUGCGUAUAUA